rnacentral:lncRNA from 1 species
AUGAUGGCCGGCACGCAGUUGGUGAGCUCCGUCCAGUCGGCGUGCAGCCCGCAGCUCCAGCCGGUGGAGAAGCGGGAGAAGAGCCACGUCUCCUUCUUGCCAGGCCGGUGGCAGGUGCACUUCUUCUGGCCGGCUUUGCAGCUACAAGGCUGCUCCAGCUGGAUGUUCUUCACCAGGUGCCGGCCGAACGUGGUGCCCCCGGUCUUCUGGAUGUGCAGAAACACGAUCACGUCGCGUCCUUUGAUGUUGAAAUCCACGAAGCGGGUCAGGUCCUUCAGGGUGAAGUUGAAGCGCGGCACGAACCGGGGCAGGGAGCCGUUCUCGGGGGCCUCGGGGUCCGGCUCGUCUUCCUCCUCCUCUUCUUCCUCCUCCUCUGGGUCUCCGGGCUCGUCGUCCUCCUCCUCCGGCGCCGCGGCCCCCCGAGGCCCCUCGGGAGGCCCCCGGGGCGGCGGGGGAAGCUGGGGCCGCCGCUCCCACUCCUCGGGCGGCGCCGGAGCUCGGCGGGCGGGACCCGGAACCGCUGGCGGGCCGGCCUCCCCCGCGCGGGGCUGCUCCCCGAAGUUGGUGCAGGAGCUGGUGCAGGAGGGGGACACGUACUGGUACAUGAUGACCACGAAGAGGAGAGUGAGCACCGGCGUCAGCAGCCACUUGUUGAACCUUUCAUCCAUGGUCCCGCUCUCAGGCCGGCAGGCGAAGCGGCGGCGGCGGCGGCAGGGCAGACGGGCGCCCGCUCGGAAGUUUCGGGGACUCCGGGGCGCGGCUCGGAGCCCGCCGUUCCUCCAUGCCCCUGACGCCGAGGCGUGCGGCUGGCUGGCUGCCCCGCGGCCCUCGGGGCUGGCGGAGCCGGGGCCUGCGAGCCGGGCGGGGGAGGCGGGCGCCGGCGCGCUCGGCUGCGGCUGCGGCGUGGGGCGCCCUGCGCUCCCGGGGGCGCCCGGGCCGGCCCGCUCCCUGCUCCCGCCCCGGCGCGGCGCUCUCAGGCGACGCGCGGCAUCCCGCCGGCGGCUCAGGGGCGCUCAGUCGCUGAGGAGCGGGAUUCGGGUCCUGACCUGCAGCACGCAGCCGGGCCGCCGGGUAGCUGCGGCCGCGAGCGCUGGGGCUUCAUGA